rnacentral:lncRNA from 1 species
CAGCUCCGCACGGCAAGGUCAGUAGAUCAAUUAAUAUAUCCUUUAGACUGAUAUAGUUGUUUUGCAGGUUGUUUUUUGUUUGGCAGGAACGAUUCUGUUGCUUCAGCCAGAAUCCACGCAUUCUGUUGCUUCGGCCAGAAUCAAACCAAGAACUAUGUUGUCUCUUUGGCUUCAAUGGUUCUUCAAACAUUUGGAGAUCAUUUUUGUCAUUUGACAUUGAUGAUCUCGACCCAUCUUGCGCUUCGGCCUAUGGGGUAACCGUCGUUGCGGACAAAAAGUCGCCCUUGAUCAGGGUAGACUAUAAACACCCGAUUCGGAUAACGAAUCCACGCAUUCUGUUGCUUCGGCCAGAAUCAGAUUCCAAUGGUGAAUCCACUCGAUCUGCGCUUCGGCC